rnacentral:pre_miRNA from 1 species
CGAUCCCUUUCUGACUUUAACAUAGUUGGUCAUUUGCAAAGACAGGUAAGGGAUUUG